CUUAUACUAUAUAGAGGACGAAUGGCGCUGUCGAAACAUCUUUUGCUUUCUCAAAUGGGCUGGGCUGGGUACACACAGUUGCGCAUCAGAACAAAGGGAAUACUAGCGACAUUCGUCCUCUAUAGUAUAAGCGCUCUGUUGGACACAGCCUAAAUCCUAAAUGCUUUGAGUAGCAGGCCAAGAUAAAUAGAAACAAUAGCGAAGGUGAAAAUCUCUGCUUAGCAAAAUCCGCAACAGUCUCGCUGAUGAUUUUAAGAAAAAAUCAAAUGAAAGAAAUUUAAUGCUUUACUCGGUACACCGAAACAAAACUUUACGUAAUCACCAUUGCCGAAAUCCUUGGAAUUUAAUUCGAUGUUCAAUGAGGAUAUCGCUUUGAAAAAUGUAAUGAAAGUUGUGUGUCAAUAAUGUUCAUAUGACCAUCAUUUAAGACACAUGUUUCGGAGAACAGUAGCCACCUGGAAAAUAUACUUUUAUAGUAUUUUUCAAUAGCGCAAUUUUAUAUGAAAAUCAAUGGUUUUAACGUGCCAUUUUCGUGCCGUGUAGGUGUUAUUGUGUGCAUGGUCACCGAGAAUUUCUCAUUUCUAAAAACUCUCACAGCUGAGUUCCUUCAGAUUUUAGAAAUUUCUCCAUACCUCUGAGUACAAGUGACUCUGUGAGUUAAUCUCAGUGGCCGUGUGUGCAACAAACAUUUGUCACAUUCACAUAAGCAAGCAAGGUAGUUCCAAGAUGAGUGCCAUUGAAUGACGUGUGCGAAUGUCAGGUCCUGCGGAUAGACUCGAUAAGCUGGCAAUGAAUCACAAAUUAUUGAUAUUUGAGAUUCAUGUUAACAUUUUGUUCCAGGCAAGGUUGCAAAUGCUCAUUACGCACAUAAACAUGUUUUUCGGAUUAAUGAAAUCAAAGAUUGUAGAAUGGAAUUCAAAUAUGAAGUGAUUUACUAAAAUUUCUUAACUUCACACAGACUUGGCCAAUCAAGUUACAAAUUAUGCUGAUAAAUUUUGAAAAGUAACAGUUCUUUGCACUUUCAAGGAGAAUACAACAAAAUGAUAGAUAAAACCACAAUGUAUUAUUUGUUAUGUUCAGUGCAGUAUAGAAGCACAGACAAAUAGACAUAAAACAUUUAAUAUUUCUCACUGUCACAUCGUCGCUACAACACUACCGACAUCUAUUGAGUACACUGUGAUGGGCAGUACGCUCAACAUAUGGGCAUAGUGUGGAAACGUCAAACACAAGGCAAUUGAAUACGAGCGCCACUGGUGGCGAUACUACCAACUAAGAAACAUUUAUAUUGACUGAGGGGUGCGUCACAUCUAAAUUUCGAUUUUAUAGGGUCGAAAAAUCUCACAAUCAAUCUACGAAAAAUCUUUUUUCAUCUCUUGCAUCUAAACCCAUCUACUCGCUCCGUUCCCCACCUUUUUGCAGGAAAUCUUCAAAAUCACAAUCAAUCGUGUUUCUAUCUAUUAAGUGCACAACAGCAAAGCAAAAACUUUCCUGCAUCUUAGAUAGAGUCGCCCCCUCGAUUUUUACCGUUAAAUGCGUGUUCGAUGAGCAACUUACGAAUGUUAUGUCUGUUGGUAUGUGAUAUAAGUGUCAAGUGGCGUCACUUAACCACACUUUUUCCCGUGUCUACCAACUUUCAAAGACAAGAUUUAAUGCUAUAUUUAUAGGGGAUGUUGGGGUAAAAUAGAUAGGUACUUGUUUGAUCGGGAAAACGUAAAUUAUCACUGUUUUGGUCAUUUUCCCCUUAUUGUUAUUUUAUUUCAUGACAAUCAGUGUUUUUCUAAAACCAUUCCAGUGAUGCAAACAUAAACAAAACAUGUAAUGCCGUCCUCAAAAUGCGUUCUGAUGUGAUUUAUACAAGGUCGCACUUAAGAAUGUUACAAGCACAAGGUUUAAAAGCUGAUAUACAACGAAUGUCCAAUUGCGAACAUUUACAAAAUAUGCUGACCGAUGGGGUAAAAUGAACAGGUGUAUGGGAGACGAUAUUCAUGAGUAAUACAUAAUAUCCUCGAAAAUUAGGCUCAAUAAUUCUGGAUUGUUUUCAUUUUUGUUUAGCUGAGGUUUUUUGCAAAUAUUUUGUGUGCAUUUUGAAAAUACUAUCUAGCUAAGACAUCACGUUAAGCUGCUUCACUACCAAAUAAUCUUUUACCAUCUUUACCAUUGGAUGCCCAUUUUAUCCCAUCGCUUAUCCGUUUUACCCCCACUCCCAAAAGAAAACUCAGCAAGAACAUGUUUUUGAUUUUAACAUUAGAAUGUAACUCGGGGUAAUGUAGCACAACCCUUGCGACUUUUUAACGAUGCACCCGAGAUAUUUACUUUAUAGUCGAUGCAAUGCAUUCGUCAUGUUCAUCAGAUUCGAAUAUGAUCCUAUGUUUGUUUGGUUUCGGCUUUCAAGAAACUGCUGGAUGGCAUAAAGAUGUUACUGCAUGAGAGUAUGUGCGUUGAUAGUGGAAUAUUGUCUUAACUCCAUGCACGGAGAGAAACAUUAAUUUGAAAAUUAAAUAUAAAAACAAAACAGCACGAAAAAGUAAUAACUACGGAUAAUUGGUCUCAAGCCAAUUUUUCGGUUAAUUACCGGCACACCACUAGAUAUUUAUCACACACGCCACGUAUCUGAUGCGACAUACGUAUAUACCAAACUUUGCAUCCAGCGAAUGACUGCACUCACGCGGCAAGCUUCCAUUCCAAUCAAGCCAAGUCAAAGUUCAGUAAUUGACUAUAAAUGGAACACGUGUUCCUCGCUGUUCCCGGCAUCUAAUCGGAGCAUAUUUUCCGUACGUUAUCAUCUCUGUCAUAAUAUGUUGCAUCGACGCAGCAGCAGUGGUGUGGAUAACGUCCGACUGCAUUAGGCAUCACUUCAAGCUGCUUGAAACAUGCUUCCGUUCGUGGCGGCAGCAAACUACCACCACCACCGGCUGUAGUUAGGUUAGUACUUGUUCAAUUAUGGUAAGGUGGGGUAAUAUGGCUAGAUGAACCCAUUUGGAAAGCUGUUCAUAUUAAUUGGUCUUUGAAUAGUGCGAGCAAUAAGGUCGUUGGUCAUAUUACCUGGUGGCGCGUAUUACACCUAGUUCCCCUACCGCCACCGACCGACCGAAGUCCGUGUGUACGGGAGAAAGUUCAGUCCAGAAGGAAACAACGAAGCAAACAGUGUCAUGUCUACAAACGCGUAUCGUGUGAAUGAAGCCGGAGCGAUGAGGGAAUAAGUAGCUUCUUGGGUGAUUAUCUCGUACGUUUCGAGUUCAACGACCCUUCUCUGUAUUGCCCUACUGCCAUGAAUCCUUAUGAAGGUUUUUUUUUUAAAUUUUCAAUCCGGUGGAUAAAAUCGGAGUAGAAUUGGGGUGUGGUAAGCACCUUACUGAUUGCGUGCUGUUCUUUUUCAAUCCAAUUGGAAGAGCAAAAUUAAUGAUUCUAGAAGACGCACCAAAAUUUGCCACACUUUAGAUUGUUCAAUUUUCAACCUUUUCCAGUGCGGAACGCGUUUUAUUGUAUUCUGGAGAUUAACAAUAUAGCGUAAGGUCACGGGGUAAUAUGACCAACAGCGUUGGUUUUUGUCUUUUUCAACACUAAUUCAAAAGUUUUUCACGCAGAAUUACCAGAUGAACUACUAAACUAUCAUUUGGAAAGCUUUGCAUAUCAAUUGGUACUCGAAAAAGGCCGUUGAACAUAUUAUCCCGUGGCACGUAUUACACCCAGAUCCCCCACGAUCACGCUACCACUAUGGGAGUUGUUGGCGAUGAAUAAAUAGAAUGCAGUAUGAAGAAAGGAAUGGAUACAAUGAGGCAUAUACAACUACAAGACGAAAAAACCGGCCGGCAUUUGGCGCAAACGCAACGCGUCGACGGUAUAUCGUACGAUGCGAUUGGAUUGGUUUUUUCGCAUUUGGUGGGUCAUAAGGUGUGAAAGAAUGGUGUGCUUCACAGUACAUAUCCGGUGGGUUGGCACCGCUAGAAACUGCGUGAGUGUGUAGCAUUACUGGGACUUGAGAUUGCAGUCCGUAGUAAUUGAUUUUAAUUAUUAUUCACCACCAUCGCAAUUUGAAAUUCACUAUCGACCCAAUUACCAACAUUCCAAUCACGAAACCACCGCACUGCUAAUAGCCAAGUUCUACAAAGCUACAGUACUCACCGAGGGCCUUCAUGUAGUCAUCGAAUCCUUCGGACUUCUCCAUCUUGUACUUCCUUCCUACCCAGGCUGCCAUUGUUGAGGAUAUAGAGUAUGUUGUUUCAA